AAUGAGGCGAACCGGGGGAACUGAAACAUCUAAGUACCCCGAGGAAAAGAAAUCAACCGAGAUUCCCCCAGUAGCGGCGAGCGAACGGGGAGGAGCCCAGAGCCUGAAUCAGUGUGUGUGUUAGUGGAAGCGUAUGGAAAGGCGCGCGAUACAGGGUGACAGCCCCGUACACAAAAAUGCACAUGCUGUGAGCUCGAUGAGUAGGGCGGGACACGUGGUAUCCUGU
rnacentral:rRNA from 1 species